rnacentral:siRNA from 1 species
UCUUUUAACAGAUGUGCCGCCC